rnacentral:rRNA from 1 species
GCAGCCAUCUUACAAAAAGCGUUAAAGCUUCAUCGUUUUUAUCAAAAAAUACCAUUAAUUAACUGUAACCCUUCACCUGUACUGAAUGAUCUCAUAGUUAUAUGAGAGCCUAUAUGUUAGAACUAGUAACAAGAAGAAGCCCCUCUCCAAAAUGUAAGCGUAAGCCAAAAUGAACUAUUCAUUGGCAUUUAAAGUUAUAAACCUAUUGUAGCAACUUAACAAGAAAAACCUACAACUGAUAAACGUCAACCUUACACAAGCACAUUUCUGGAAAGAUAAAAAGAAUAGGAAGGAACUCGGCAAACAACUAACCCCGCCUGUUUACCAAAAACAUCGCCUCCUGAUCACCCAUAGGAGGUCCAGCCUGCCCAGUGACUAAGUUAAACGGCCGCGGUACCCUAACCGUGCAAAGGUAGCGCAAUCACUUGUUCUUUAAAUGAGGACUAGUAUGAACGGCAUCACGAGGGUUAUGCUGUCUCCCUACUCUACUCAGUGAAACUGAUCUCCCCGUGAAGAAGCGGGGAUAAAAAUAUAAGACGAGAAGACCCCAUGGAGCUUUAAACUCAGUACCAACUGCCCAAAUAAGAACCUAUUAUACUUGCAGCUAUGGUUACUAGUUUUCGGUUGGGGUGACCACGGAGUAAAAUUAAACCUCCACGAUGAAAGGAACUAAUAACCUAACCUAUGAGCUACAGCUCUAAGUAUCAACAAAUUGACUAAUUGACCCAAUUACUUGAUCAACGAACCAAGUUACCCUGGGGAUAACAGCGCAAUCCAUUUCAAGAGCUCAUAUCGACAAAUGGGUUUACGACCUCGAUGUUGGAUCAGGGUAUCCCAGUGGCGCAGCCGCUACUAACGGUUC